UAGGGAAUCUUCGGCAAUGGACGAAAGUCUGACCGAGCAACGCCGCGUGAGUGAAGAAGGUUUUCGGAUCGUAAAACUCUGUUGUUAGAGAAGAACAAGGACGUUAGUAACUGAACGUCCCCUGACGGUAUCUAACCAGAAAGCCACGGCUAACUACGUGCCAGCAGCCGCGGUAAUACGUAGGUGGCAAGCGUUGUCCGGAUUUAUUGGGCGUAAAGCGAGCGCAGGCGGUUUCUUAAGUCUGAUGUGAAAGCCCCCGGCUCAACCGGGGAGGGUCAUUGGAAACUGGGAGACUUGAGUGCAGAAGAGGGGAGUGGAAUUCCAUGUGUAGCGGUGAAAUGCGUAGAUAUAUGGAGGAACACCAGUGGCGAAGUCGGCUCUCUGGUCUGUAACUGACGCUGAGGCUCGAAAGCGUGGGGAGCAAACAGG
rnacentral:rRNA from 1 species